rfam:Salmo salar isolate Sally breed double haploid chromosome ssa11, whole genome shotgun sequence.
UGCACUCACUACUGUAAGUCGCUCUGGAUAAGAGUGUAUGCUAAAUUACUAAAA